CGUAUAAACUGAUCUAAGCAAAUAUAUACAUUGGCUAGAACUGUGUUUAGAUUAAUGGCUUGUUUAAAACAGUACUGAUUCACUUUAUAUGUAAAAUAAAUUUGAGUGUAAUGCUCCGUGAGCCUGGUCCUGGUUUGCGCAAUAUUGGCAACAGGGGUACAAUUGUGAAGUCCCUAAGAUAUUGAGCACUAGUCAUUCAUAGGGACUGGGUUAAGAAUCAGUGCUAUAAUGGGUUCUGUUUAUGUGUGUAAUGGGUAAGUAAGUUUGGUGCAUUUUUUUUAUUUUUUCCAACGAUUCUUCCUGUUCACCCGCUUGCACAACCUAGGACACCACUCCAUUACUUUUAAGAAACCAUUCAAUAGGCAUCUCUACAUGUAUAUAUUUUUUUUGUUUCUCUUUAACCUUAAAGCUGAACAUGUAACACCACAUUGCCUUAAGCAAGGACUUCCACUGGGAAUUUUCCAUGGUGAAGGUACACUUACACACUUAAGUAGUUUCUUUUAAGGAUUAUGCACAAAUGAGCUAGGGAUCAUGGAACAUACAAACUGAUUUUGCAUGAAAUGCCAAGGCAGUGCCUUAUCAGACAAUAACUGUGAUCCAAAUACAUAAAUUGUGUUUGUGUGUGUAUAUACAUAUAAAUAUAUAUAUGUAUACAGACUUCUUAUGUUGGGUUCCUUAUGUGCAAGAUAAGGAUGCAGAACAUUUACUCCUCCAGCAUGCAAUGAGUUAAACAAGCCUUUAUACAGAACAAAUGAUAUGAUCUAAAGACUGAGUUCUUGUGUAAUGAUCUCCCAACAGGUUUUCACCCCCUCCAGGCACCCAUUUCAAUAGGUUGGGCUGUAACACGUACUAUGGUUUGGUAAAACUGUCAUGUAAUUGAAGAAUGAAGUCACGUGGGUGGAGUACAAGAAUCUAUGUAUGUUUCAUGUCAAUGUUGGGGUUUCUAGGCUUAAAAGCUUAAUAAAACAAAACUUCAACCCCUGUUAUUACUACAGCUGAAAAUCUGGUAUUUGAAAAUCUUUAUUCUAGGCUCGUACACUUGGGAGGGUUUUUUUUUUUUUUUUUUUUUUUUUUUUUUUUUGUUAAAACAUAUGACAAAUUCAGUAAAUAGCAACUCUGGCCUUAAUUUUGUACAUCUGAUUUAAACUUACUGAAUUUUGGGUAGAGGGUGAUCUAAAUGUUCCUUUUUGCAAUUGAUUUGUCAACUCAUAAUUCUGGCUAUUCUUCAGAAAAUAAAAUCCCAUUCUUAUCUCACCCUCAUUUGGUUAAAAAAAAUGAUAGUAAAAUGAUAGAUUGUAAACCUUUUAAAAUUGAGCUGUUUACAAAAUGCACACUGGUUCAAACCAGUAAACCGUUAAAUUAAGGUGAACUAUAUAAAUCAGCUAAUUGGGCUACAAAUAAAAACUGCACCCUUUUGGGCGCUGUGACAUGGCCCAAAUCUGUCAAUUGUUCCCAGUUAGCAGCGCAAGGAGACAUCUUCCUCUAACAAGGGAUCAUUGGCUUACUAAGGGUUCACCAUUCAUUUGUAGAAUCCGGUGUAGUCCGGAAGGGAAGGUAGCAUACGUAAGAGAACUGAGCAGGUCUAAUUGGUAAAUCUACCUUGGCAAUCAGCUUGGCUUUGGAGACAUCUGUAGCCAUUACUUCAGUAUGCAUUCAGAAAAUUCUUUGCUUUGCCAAAAAAAAAAGUACGAUUACAAUUGUUCUUCAUAAUCUGUUUUGUAUAAAUAUUGUAUGACACUAAAGAGAAGUCACUGUGAUAUCUUUAUUUUAUUUCUUUUGUACUUGUAGAGAGGAAUAUUUUGCAAAUGGUACUGUGCUCUCCUGUAAUAUUUCAUUUUCCAAAUCACUACACCAUUCGAUGGAAUAAAGAAUUAUUGGUCUUCUA